GGGGAGCGAACCGGAUUAGAUACCCGGGUAGUCCACGCUGUAAACGAUGGGUGCUAGGCGUUGGCCACGAGGGUGGUCGGUGCCGUAGCUAACGCGAUAAGCGCCCCGCCUGGGGAGUACGGCCGCAAGGCUGAAACUCAAAGGAAUUGACGGGGGCCCGCACAAGCGGAGGAACAUGUGGUUUAAUUCGAUGAUACGCGAGGAACCUUACCUGGGCUUAAAUGUAUGAUGGUCGCUUCUGAAAAGGAGUUUCCCUUCGGGGCAUUAUACAAGGUGCUGCAUGGUUGUCGUCAGCUCGUGCCGUGAGGUGUCGGGUUAAGUCCCAUAACGAGCGCAACCCUUACCGUUAGUUGCCAACAGGUAAAGCUGGGGACUCUAACGGGACUGCCAUCGUAAGAUGCGAGGAAGGUGGGGAUGACGUCAAAUCAGCACGGCCCUUAUGUCCAGGGCUACACACGUGCUACAAUGGCGGAUACAAAGGGCAGCUACUUGGUGACAAGAUGCUAAUCUCGAAAGUCCGUCUCAGUUCGGAUCGAAGUCUGCAACUCGACUUCGUGAAGUUGGAAUCGCUAGUAAUCGCAUAUCAGCCAUGAUGCGGUGAAUACGUUCCCGGGCCUUGUACACACCGCCCGUCAAGCCAUGGAAGUUGGGAGUACCUGAAGUCUGUAACCGUAAGGAGCGGCCUAGGGUAAAACUGAUAACUAGGGCUAAGUCGUAACAAGGUAGCCGUACCGGAAGGUGUGGCUG
rnacentral:rRNA from 1 species